UACGUAGGGGGCAAGCGUUGUCCGGAUUUAUUGGGCGUAAAGAGCGUGUAGGCGGCUAGACAGGUCCGUUGUGAAAACUCGAGGCUCAACCUCGAGACGCCGAUGGAAACCGGCUGGCUAGAGUCCGGAAGAGGAGAGUGGAAUUCCUGGUGUAGCGGUGAAAUGCGCAGAUAUCAGGAAGAACACCCGUGGCUAAGGCGGCUCUCUAGUACGGUACUGACGCUGAGACGCGAAAGCGUGGGGAGCGAACAGG
rnacentral:rRNA from 1 species